rnacentral:misc_RNA from 1 species
ACGCGCUCACACACGCACACGCACGCCUCAUCGGAGCGCCUUCGCCCCCUACCCCUCCUCCUCCUCCUCUUCCUUGCCUUCAUUGAAUGGAGCUGGCAGCGUGGAGAACGGGAUGCGGAGACGGGGAGGGGCCGCGCACGCGUGUGCAGAGAUGCAUGCAGGAAAGACAGACCGCACCAAAAUGGAUGCCUCCGCAUGCGUGCAGAGAAACCCGGUGAAGGUCGUGUACGGGCUGAGGGAGAGGUGCCCAUGGUUGAGGGAGGACGAAUGCCUUGGUGUUUGGUUGACGCGCAGCGACUCCUGUUUUUCUUGUCCUUCGUGCGGCUCCAUGCAGCAGGGACGGAGGGAGACAAGAGCCGCAUACCGACUAUGAAACCACACACUGGCUUUUCAGGUCGCGUAAGGAUCUAAAACGGACGACCUCCGUCCUUCCUUUUCUUGCUGUGCGUCACUCCACGGCGCUGAGUGGGCACUGAGGGAGGCGUGAUCGUCAUCCGCUCCCCAUCUCCCCCCCCCCACUCACUCGCUCGCUCUCUGCCUGUCGCUCCGAUGCAGAAGCUUGCCGCGCACAUGUUGCCCCACCGCUCAAUGCCGACCCUCUGUCUCUGUCUAUGCCCUCGUCUGUGCUCGCCGCCACGCACGCGCACCGCGACGAGGUGAGAUUCGAACACAAAG